GACAGAGGUGCCAAGCGUUAGGCGGAAUCACUGGGCUUAAAGCGUGUGUAGGCGGAUCGUUAAGUACCUUGUGAAAUCCCACGGCUCAACCGUGGAACGGCCUCGGAUACGGGCGGCCUCGAGGGGGGUAGGGGCAUCUGGAACUGUGAGUGGAGCGGUGAAAUGCGUUGAUAUUCACAGGAACUCCGGUGGCGAAGGCGAGGUGCUGGACCCCAUCUGACGCUGAGGCGCGAAAGCCAGGGGAGCGAACGGG
rnacentral:rRNA from 1 species